rnacentral:misc_RNA from 1 species
GAUGAAGAACGCAUCGAAAUGCGAUAAGUAAUGUGAAUUGCAGAAUUCAGUGAAUCAUCGAAUCUUUGAACGCACAUUGCGCCCGCUAGUAUUCUGGCGGGCAUGCCUGUCCGAGCGUCAUUUCAACCCUCAAGCCCCCGGGCUUGGUGUUGGGGAUCGGCGAGCCUCCGCGCCCGCCGUCCCCUAAAUCUAGUGGCGGUCUCGCUGUAGCUUCCUCUGCGUAGUAGCACACCUCGCACUGGGAAACAGCGCGGCCACGCCGUUAAACCCCCAACUUCUGAACGUUUGACCUCGGAUCAGGUAGGAAUACCCGCUGAACUUAAGCAUAUCAAUAAGCGGAGGA